rnacentral:rRNA from 1 species
UACGUAGGGUGCAAGCGUUAAUCGGAAUUACUGGGCGUAAAGCGUGCGCAGGCGGUUUUGUAAGUCAGAUGUGAAAUUCCCGGGCUUAACCUGGGAACUGCGUUUGAAACUACAAGGCUAGAGUGUGGCAGAGGGGGGUGGAAUUCCACGUGUAGCAGUGAAAUGCGUAGAGAUGUGGAGGAACACCGAUGGCGAAGGCAGCCCCCUGGGUUAACACUGACGCUCAGGCACGAAAGCGUGGGGAGCAAACAGG